rnacentral:rRNA from 1 species
GAACGGAAAGGCCCUGCUUGCAGGGUACUCGAGUGGCGAACGGGUGAGUAACACGUGGGUGAUCUGCCCUGCACUUCGGGAUAAGCUUGGGAAACUGGGUCUAAUACCGGAUAGGAGCCAUCUUUAGUGUGGUGGUUGGAAAGUUUUUUCGGUGUAGGAUGAGCUCGCGGCCUAUCAGCUUGUUGGUGGGGUAAUGGCCUACCAAGGCGGCGACGGGUAGCCGGCCUGAGAGGGUGUACGGCCACAUUGGGACUGAGAUACGGCCCAGACUCCUACGGGAGGCAGCAGUGGGGAACAUUGCACAAUGGGCGCAAGCCUGAUGCAGCGACGCCGCGUGGGGGAUGAAGGCCUUCGGGUUGUAAACUCCUUUCGCUAGGGACGAAGCUUUGUGUGACGGUACCUAGAUAAGAAGCACCGGCUAACUACGUGCCAGCAGCCGCGGUAAUACGUAGGGUGCGAGCGUUGUCCGGAAUUACUGGGCGUAAAGAGCUCGUAGGUGGUUUGUCGCGUCGUCUGUGAAAUUCUGGGGCUUAACUCCGGGCGUGCAGGCGAUACGGGCAUAACUUGAGUGCUGUAGGGGUAACUGGAAUUCCUGGUGUAGCGGUGAAAUGCGCAGAUAUCAGGAGGAACACCGAUGGCGAAGGCAGGUUACUGGGCAGUUACUGACGCUGAGGAGCGAAAGCAUGGGUAGCGAACAGG